GAGAAACAAUACCACCUUUGUUCCAAUCACGGUCUCUCACGGAACUCUAGGGUUCCAUGGAACCCUGGUUGAGAAAGCCUGAUAUAGAGGGGAAAAAAUAAGUAAAUCAAUUACAAUGAGGAUAAACCAAAGUUUGGAGGCACUGAAAGCAGUGUCUGCCACAUGCACAAUAUACUCAUCUUUGGAGGCUCAAUCAAGGAUAGAAGUAUGGAAACUGCCUUGGAGAAACUGCAACAAGCUGGAAGAAUCCUAAACAAAAAGAAAUGCUAAUUUGUAAAGUUGGAGGUGAAGUUAGUAGGCCACCAACUGUCCUCUGGGGGAGUGCAACCAGAUUCAGAUGAACUGCCAGGAGUUCAGAACAUGGAACAACCUACAAGUGUAUCAGAGAUCUACAGUUUCCUUGGCAUGGUAAAUCAGCUGGAAAGUUCAUUCUAGGUCUGCCAGAGAAAAGAAAGCCACUAUAAGACCUCUCUCAGAGAAACAUUUGAACCUGACAUGCACCACAGGAGGAGUUAUUCUCUUCACUUAAAGCAGAGCUCAUCUUUUCACCAACAUUGGCGUUCCUCGAUCCGAACAAAGCAACCCCUAAGAUCUCAGCAGAUGCCCCUUCCUUUGAAUUAAGGGAAGUGCUCAUGCAAACUGUAGUGGUGUAUGGAAACCUGUGGCAUAUGCAUCAAAAGCACCGACUCCUACUGACAGUGUGCCCAAAUCGAAAAGGAGACGUUGGCUCUCAUGUGGGCUUGUGAAAGCUUUAUCUACUACUUGAUAGGCAUUAAAUUCCUAAUUGUAACAGACCACACACGCCACUUGUCAGUCUUCUCAGCUCAAAAUACUUACAUGUCUGCAAAGAUUCAGAAUGAGGCUUAUGUGAUACAGUUGGUACAUUGAACAUGACCUCAGCAAAUCUUUCACACCACUGGACACUGUCAAGGAUGCCAUGCAAAAGUGAGUGGAUGGAAGGUGACUCCUCCCUCAUGGAAGAUGCCAUUGUAACACCCUGGUUAAGAUUUUUACUACUAAUGCUGUAGGGUAUUUCAUUGACUCGUUUUCUGUAGAAGCAACAUGUUCUGCUGAUAGUAUUUGGGUUUCAGUUAAAGGCAAGGGGUUGUGAUGUUCAAAUUAGGAAUGUUGGGUCAGCCAAUCAGGCUGGUGGUAUUGGGAGAAGGUUCCAGAGAAAGCUGGGUGGAGAGGCUUUGUGAUGGACACUGGUGGGGAUUGUAGUCUUUUCAGCAGGAGAUAGAGAGAAAACAAUCGAGAGAACUGGGCCAUAGGAUUCGACCCAACUGGAAUGGGUGAUUCAAUUGUGUACAGGAUGGGAGGGUCUACUGGUGAUUGGUGUAUAGGAGCAGCACUGUAAGAAGAGACACACACACAGCUUUUGGAAGAUAUGAGCUCCAACCUGGUGCACAUUUAACUGGUUUAAUUAUACUGUGGCCUUUUAUUUUUUCCUUUUUUUAAAUAACUAUUUGAAUAUGCUGAGAUUCAUAACUACAGCUUUACAGUUGUAUGUGGUGUAUGAUCUGAUAUUUCUUGCCGACAGAUAAUUGCACAUAGGCAGUAUUUAUACAGUAUUCGUUCAGAUCAGGGUUCGGGUGGUCAUAACAUCCCAACUUUGCGAUUUGGUGGGACCCAAAUCAUACCGAUCCUAGACAUAUGGAUUUUGAGAAAGGUGGGUUUCUCACCACUGAGUCCGGUGGCCAUAGCGAGUUGCUAAUGAGCUAAGAAGCCUGGUAAAAGGGGGUUUCACCAAUAUGUUCUUUGCUCAGGCAUGUGAAAGAUUUCCUGCAUCACAGAAUAAAUGGGAUGAAAUUUGCACUGAGUUGUAAAAGAAUCAACUCUGCAGCAAGGUCGAGCAAUACAGUGAGAAUGGAUGGCCAGCUGUUCCAAAAGGAGCUCUCAAACUCAGUCCUUAUUGGUUUGAGAGAAACGCAAUCACCAUUCUUGACGGUUUGCUGCUAAAUGGCUCCAGACACAUCAUUCCUGUUUCUAUGCACUCCAACAUCAGUCAUAUCCACCAAGGGCGUCAAGACAUCAAAACUCUGCCUAUGAGCAAGGCGAUCUGUGUAAUGGUCUGCUCUGAGCACAGAGAUGAGAGAUUUUGUAAGGCAAUGCGAAGCUUACAGGAAACAGUACAAAAAUCAUGCUGAAUCCUUCUGUUCCACAGAAUUCCUGGACUUUCCAUGGCAAAUUGCAGAUAUAGAUAUUUUUGCAUCAAAGAGACAAAUAUCUUCUCACUAUGAAUUACUACUCACUGAAUGCUGAGAUAUCCAAGCUGUCCUCUGCAUAAUUAGAUGUUAUCCAGCACCAAUAAGCUAUAUUUGCUCACCAUGGAAAACCAGUGUCAGACAACGUUCCACAAUUCAGCUGCUCAGUCUUUGCUAGGGACUAUGAGUUCAAACACCAGACAAGCAGUCCAUGGUACCCACAGGCAAAUGGAGCAGCAGAAAGAGCAAUGCAAACUGUUAAGAGCCUCCUACUGAAGACAAAAGAACCUUACAAAGCUCUGCCAGCUUAUCGCUCCACACCUCUUGCAAAUGGCUACAGUCCAUCAGGGUUGUCACUAGGCCAGAGACUGAGAACAAGCCUGCCUGUUCUUCUUGCCCUUCUCCAACCUCACUUACAGGACUUAGACAAAGUGAGAAAUUUUGAGACAACACGACAUGAGAAAAUGCAAAACAUACAUGAACUCAGACACAGAGCAAAAUCUUUGAUACUGCUCGGGAGUGGUAAAGCUGUUUGGGUUUCAGACCAAUUCACCAAAGUAACAAUGGUCUGGCAGCAUGCACGACGAUUGUUUGUGAUCAGAACAUCACAAGGUGAAAUCACACAGAACAGGCAUGCGCUCGUGCACCUUCAAAGUCCACGAGAGGUAGAGGAAGAAAUAGAAUGACCUGAUCCUUAUGAUGAGGACAACAUACCUGAGAUCUUUAGCAGGAUGAGCGCUCAAAUGACUUAUAUCUGUUCACAGCAAUACACUGCUUGUUAUAAUAUGAACUCUUGUGGAUUCGUGCCACAGUUUAUAGAGAAUCAUGACUGCAUAUCCUCAGUUAGUAUUUUUGUAGUGAAAGAAUAAUUUUCCAGUGGAAGUGGGGUCAUUGGCUCAAUCGUUAAAGCAAAGUUGCAUCAGCCCUCACUGGAAAUGAAGAGGAUCACUACUCACACGGAGCAGUGAUACCACUUUAUGACUGUAUAUUUUAAACUGUUUUCAAGUAAAUCCUUCAGCAUUACUGGCAACUAUAAAUAAUAUGGCUUUAAUAUAACAAGUUUUUGAUGUUUGAUUUUUAUAAAAUUUAUUAAAUUUGCUUUGAAGAGCUUAUG